rnacentral:rRNA from 1 species
UACGGGGGGGGCAAGCGUUGUUCGGAAUUACUGGGCGUAAAGGGCUCGUAGGCGGCCCUCUCAGUCGGAUGUGAAAUCCCCAGGCUUAACCUGGGAACGGCAUCCGAUACUGGAUGGCUGGAGGUUGGGAGAGGGAUGCGGAAUUCCAGGUGUAGCGGUGAAAUGCGUAGAUAUCUGGAGGAACACCGGUGGCGAAGGCGGCAUCCUGGACCAAUUCUGACGCUGAGGAGCGAAAGCCAGGGGAGCAAACGGG